UAAACAGGGCUCAAUUAUUAGAGCGAGAUAACGAGUACGGUCAAUUGAGGGACCACAACCAGGAUCAUACCGGAGAUGGCAGUCAACAAAACAACGAUAACCAGCGGAGAAAGAAAAAGACGGACAAAAAUGGUAACCACUCUGGUGGUAAUCAUGGCCAUGAGAAUAGAAGAAGCGAAUCGGGAGGAGAUUUUAAAAAGAGGAGAUU
rnacentral:lncRNA from 1 species